rnacentral:sRNA from 1 species
GCUGGGCAUGGUGGUGCAUACCUAUAAUCCUAGCGGCUCAGGAGGCUGAGGCAGGAGGAUUGAAAGUUCAAAGCCUGCCUCAG